ACGGAAGGCAGCAGUGGGGAAUAUUGGACAAUGGGCGAAAGCCUGAUCCAGCGACGUCGCGUGAGUGAAGAAGUAUUUCGGUAUGUAAAGCUCUAUCAGCAGGGAAGAUAAUGACGGUACCUGACUAAGAAGCCCCGGCUAACUACGUGCCAGCAGCCGCGGUAAUACGUAGGGGGCAAGCGUUAUCCGGAUUUACUGGGUGUAAAGGGAGCGUAGACGGUAUGGCAAGUCUGAUGUGAAAACCCAGGGCUCAACCCUGGGACUGCAUUGGAAACUGUCAAACUAGAGUGCAGGAGAGGUAAGUGGAAUUCCUAGUGUAGCGGUGAAAUGCGUAGAUAUUAGGAGGAACACCAGUGGCGAAGGCGGUUUACUGGACCACAACUGACGCUGAGACACGAAAGCGUGGGGAGCAAACAGGAUUAGAUACCCUGGUA
rnacentral:rRNA from 1 species